UGGAGUUUUGUAGCUUCGUCCGUUUCGUGGCUUUUUCGUCUUCCACUUCCUUCUUAGGGUUUUUAAGUUCAGCGAGCGUCUUAACAAUUUCCUCUACAAGCAUAACUCUUUACAACCAUGACUCCCUCUCCCAAGCUCUGGCCUCUCUGAUGUAAAACUCGAGGCUCUGGUCUAGGUUGUUGAAUCAAUCUGUUUGAGAAGCUCUUCCAUCGGUUUUGAUGCCGGUGGAUCCUGUUGUUCCUCUCCGCCCAGAUUGUGUAGAUCGCGCUUUGCCAUGCCAGGAGUAUUGAUUUCUUCCUCUCUUUGCCAAAGUUUGAAGACCUAAGAUGGUUGAGAGUAUUUGUCAAGUCUCUGUUAACCUAAAGAUGAAGCCUUCGUCCUAAUUCUGACCAAAUUCUCCAUGAGGAAGGACUCUAAAAAAUAUGCUCUCUCAACUCGAGUCCAUGGUUGCAGAGCUAAUACUGAGCUGAAUUUGGAAGACCCAGUUUUCUCACCAUUCUAUCUUUUGUGGUGCAUGGAUUUAGGAAAAAUAACCAGAACCACAAUUGUUAGAUACUUAGUUGAGCCAUGGCAGCUCUCACCGAUGGAUUUUUUGGUGGUUAAGCGACAAUAGGCUUCAACAAGAAUCCACGCUGCUUGUAAUGGAUCAUUGUUUCUCUCUUUACUCUUAAGCGACAAUGGUUGUUUCUCUUUUCUUUUAAAAAAGAUUGGUGUUUAAAGUAUUGAAAGUUGUUGUGAUAAGUCAAUUAAUUGGGCCAGACAAGUUAGGAAAUAAGCAACCGUGACACGGUGAAUGCAAGCUCUUGUUCGUGUCUGAGUCUCGUGUAAGAGCUCAUCGCAGAGUGCCAUUAGACUCUACUGAACUAAAGAUCAUGCAAAGCAAACCGAGAAAGGUUUAUGUGGUAGUCUCUCAAGUUUAAAGGAUUAGAUGGAGCAAGAAAGAGCUAUUAAGAGGGAGAGAGCUAUGGUUUCUUCUAUCACUAGAUAAUAAGUGGGUUAAGGUGAAUUGUGUGUUGCCUCAGUCUCCAUGAAACUUUAUGCCAUUGAUGAUGAUAUUCGUUCCAAUAUCUACGCGUUGCCAUGAAGUGGCAUCGAGAAAAAUCUAAAGAAGGGGAUUCUUUUAAUUGGGAUUCUUUUACAUCUAUGUUUCAAGAAAUCAACAAGGCUUAUGAAGCAAUGGACGACUUCAACGGAUGAAUUAAGAAUCACACAAAGAAUUGGGACUGAGAGAUAUAUCGACUGAUGGAUUCACGAUCAAAGUAAAGAGGAUGGGAGAAGUUGGUGAAACAGAGAUUUAGUUGAAAAUGUGCGGUUGGAAUAGGCCACGCUUUGCUCAAAAUGGCAGAAACCAGCAUGGCAUGGCACCCAUUCAAAUGUGUGGUGACUAGAGGAAAAAAUGGAGGUUUUUUUAAUCUCCAAUGUUCCAUUUAAUUCAGUUUCUUUCUUACUCUCUCUCACUGUCCCGUAUUACAUGUUUUCAUUCUGGUGAAUGUUAAAUGAUUAUGGUGUAGGAAGUGGUGGAUGAAGAAGAUGAGAAACUUAAGAAUUUGAGAGAAGAAUGGGGAGAAGAAGUGCAGAACGCAAUUAGGACAGCCCUCGAGGAGCUGAAUGACUUCAACCCAAGUGGCCGAUACAUGGUUCCAGUAGUGUGGAAUUUUGGAAAAGGGAGGAAAACAACACCGAAAGAAGGGAUUACUCACAUGACGAAGGAGGUCAAAACUCUCAAACGCAAGCUCUGAAAAGUGUUUGAAGAAUUUGCUCUUUGAAAUCUUAUUAAUCUCUCCACCUAUCUAGAAAUCUGUAGUCAUAUUAAUACAACUUAUUUCUUAUCAAUUUUCAACUGGUGGUUUUGGUAAUCUUUAGUGAAGAGCUUUGGAUAAAGUAAAAUUUGUUUGUUAAA